GAUGGCCGCCCGGCUGGGGUUUGCCAGUGUUGCUCUCCUCCGCCUCUGUUCGGCAUCAGGGAAGCCUAUCAUCCUCUUGGUUAACCUCAGCCUCCAGUAAUCCUGUCAAUUCUCCUCUUGGAGUGUGUGCUUUGACAAGCACCCAGGAGGCUAUUUUUCGCCUCUCCCUUCAAAGCUGGAACUGAAACACUCACACAAGAGCAAUGAGAAGACGUGGAGCCUGACCAUCUCACCUGGCUGUCGAUCUUUUUAUUGAGCACAGUCUUAGAAGCUUCAUGCUGAGCACGGCUCCUCUAGAAACAGCAAAAAUGAAUCCAGAAAUCCAAGCUCUGUGACUGUUCACUGGCUCUCAAAGGCAAGUGAAGAAAAGUGAAGAGACCUCUUUCUUAGAUGCUACAGUGAACCUGGGACUUGAACCAGGCCACAUACCUUCCCGGAAUGGAUGUUUGUGCCUGAGAAACGCCAUGCGCAGCUGACUGAGACCAGAGUGAACGCGCAGUUGCUGCGCCAAGAAUCCGCGAACCUGAUGACCCAGGCAGAGAUGACUCUUGGUUCUGGGAUGCUUCUCCUCCCUGUUCACAUGAGAGACGCGAGUAUCAGACUGAAAGCCUGUAACUCAGAAGGAGGCAGAACAGGGAUGUGGAGCUGGGCUGAGGAGUCAGACAAAGCACACUGCCUGUCCACGGCUUCUUCAUAAACCCUAGCAAGACGUUUAUUGGGUUGUCCGACUUGUCUUGCCUCAGGUCCAAAUCCAGUCUGCUCAUGUUCUUAUAAAGUUUAAAUGAAACAACUAUGCUCAUUCUAAGAGUAUUAUGUAUUUCAUAAUACAUAUUAUGCUUUCGUGAUACAAUGAAUAACUCGAGAAUGUGCAUGUCUGUAAA